rnacentral:rRNA from 1 species
GGUUCCGUGGUGACCUGCGGAAGGAUCAUUAUUGAAUUACCGGGGGCUGGAUGCUGGCAGUCUAUGAUUGCAUGUGCUCGCUCUCUUUAAUCCACUUACACAUGUGCACUCAAUUUUGAAGACAGGGUAAAGCCUGUCUUUGAAACCUUAUAAACUCUUACUCGAUUGUAAUGAAUGUUUUUAUCUGCCGAAAGGCAAAAUUUAAUACAACUUUUAACAACGGAUCUCUUGGCUCUCGCAUCGAUGAAGAACGCAGCGAAAUGCGAUAAGUAAUGUGAAUUGCAGAAUUCAGUGAAUCAUCGAAUCUUUGAACGCACCUUGCACUCUCUGGUAUUCCGGAGAGUACGCCUGUUCGAGUGUUGUGAAACUCUCAAGCAGAGAUAGCUUUGUUGCUGUUUUUGCUUGGAUUUGGACUUUGCUGUGUCAAUGCGGCUGGUCUUAAAUGUAUUAGCUGAUCCUUAUGUGGUUUGGUUCUACUCAGCGUGAUAAUUAUCUAGCGUUGAGGACAGUCUUAGGACUGGCCAGAGCUUAUAU